rnacentral:rRNA from 1 species
AUGCCACGGUGAAUACGUUCCCGGGUCUUGUACACACCGCCCGUCACACCACGAGAGUUGGCAACACCCGAAGUCGGUGAGGUAACCUUUUUAGGAGCCAACCGCCGAAGGUGGGGCUAAUGAUUGGGGUGAAGUCGUAACAAGGUAGCCGUAUCGGAAGGUGCGGCUGGAUCACCUCCUUUCU